GGGAGGUGCAGGAGAAAGUGGCUGGGAUCCAAUAAGGGUCCAGUGGCUCUCCCCACCCAGCCCUCUGAUAUUGGGAAUGUCAAGAGUCACCUGCAAGCACUCACAGAUGCUCUGAUGAAGAUACUGUCUGCUGUGCUUACAGAACAAGUGUCCAACAAGGGGCCAACACUGGUCAGGAAUCCUAAAAUCAGCAUAACCUGAAGGAACAUAAACAGAUGACCAGGCAAGCACAGCAGGAACCACAGGGACAAGAAAACAUCUGUUCAACUGUCCUCCUUGCCAGCCAUGGAAAGAUAGGCUACAGGGGAAUUUUUCCCUCUAGGAGUUGGUCCCAAGAGGAUAGAGUCAUUCUGCCUUUAAAUUAAGAAACAGGAGACAGCAAGGAUCUAGAGGUGGUUCAUGUGGCCAGAGUAUCCCCAGAACUGAGAUUCCUCCAGUGACUGACUUCGUGGUCCACUGAGCUCCUGGAGCAUCAGGCAACAAUGGACAGCCUUUAAAUUGGUGGCCGUUUGCCACCACUCAGGCACUAACAAGCAUUAUCAAGGGUCCACAAGGACUUGGCAUCUCAGGAGAUAAGCCAGAGAAACAUGGAGGACAAAGCCAGAGCAGAGAGGAGAGCCAGGCCAUGUGGGAGUGAGCAAUAGGGCGUGCACAUAUGUGUGACUGAGGACUGACACCUGUAACACUAGCCACUGUGGCAGCAUGGGGUCACCUCUAG